CCUACGGGAGGCAGCAGUGGGGAAUAUUGCACAAUGGGGGAAACCCUGAUGCAGCGACGCCGCGUGAGUGAAGAGGUAUUUCGGUACGUAAAGCUCUAUCAGCAGGGAAGAAAAUGACGGUACCUGACUAAGAAGCCCCGGCUAACUACGUGCCAGCAGCCGCGGUAAUACGUAGGGGGCAAGCGUUAUCCGGAUUUACUGGGUGUAAAGGGAGCGUAGACGGCAGCGCAAGUCUGGAGUGAAAUCCCAUGGCUUAACCAUGGAACUGCUUUGGAAACUGUGCAGCUAGAGUGCAGGAGAGGUAAGCGGAAUUCCUAGUGUAGCGGUGAAAUGCGUAGAUAUUAGGAGGAACACCAGUGGCGAAGGCGGCUUACUGGACUGUAACUGACGUUGAGGCUCGAAAGCGUGGGGAGCAAACAGGAUUAGAUACCCCUGUAGUC
rnacentral:rRNA from 1 species